CUAAUAGACUACCCUGGUAGUCCACGCCGUAAACGAUGAGUGCUAAGUGUUAGGGGGUUUCCGCCCCUUAGUGCUGCAGCUAACGCAUUAAGCACUCCGCCUGGGGAGUACGGUCGCAAGACUGAAACUCAAAGGAAUUGACGGGGGCCCGCACAAGCGGUGGAGCAUGUGGUUUAAUUCGAAGCAACGCGAAGAACCUUACCAGGUCUUGACAUCCCGUUGACCACUGUAGAGAUAUGGUUUUCCCUUCGGGGACAACGGUGACAGGUGGUGCAUGGUUGUCGUCAGCUCGUGUCGUGAGAUGUUGGGUUAAGUCCCGCAACGAGCGCAACCCUUGAUCUUAGUUGCCAUCAUUUAGUUGGGCACUCUAAGGUGACUGCCGGUGACAAACCGGAGGAAGGUGGGGAUGACGUCAAAUCAUCAUGCCCCUUAUGACCUGGGCUACACACGUGCUACAAUGGACGAUACAAACGGUUGCCAACUCGCGAGAGGGAGCUAAUCCGAUAAAGUCGUUCUCAGUUCGGAUUGUAGG
rnacentral:rRNA from 1 species